rnacentral:rRNA from 1 species
AUGAUGGAGUACUAUCACAUUGCCAAUAAGAUGUUUAAUAGUGAGGAUGAAGGUUAUACAUUCUAUAACAAAUAUGGUCUUGAGAAAGGUUUUAGUGUCCGGAGAAGCUAUGUCGAGUGGGAUGGAUCCAACUGCCAUAUAAUUUUAAGGAAAUUUGUGUGUAGUCGUGAAGGGGUUCGUGAAGAGAAGCACAUGAAGAGGAAGAUGGAAGAUAGAAAGAGGAGGCCACGGAGUAUAACUCGUGUAGGGUGUAAAGCUAAAUUGGUGAUUGCAAGACAGGAGGAAACAUGUCAGUGGUUUGUCAAGGAUUUCAUCGAUGAACACAACCAUCCUCUAGCCCCACGGGAUCUGUCGUGUCUUUUGCGUUCACACAGAAGAAUUAGCGAUGAGCAGAAAGCGGACAUUGCAGACAUGGAAAAAUCUGGGAUCAGAAAACACCAUAUUAUGGAUAUUAUGUGCAUGCAAUACGGUGGAUAUGAUGAGGUUGGAUGCAUUAUGAGGGACAUUUACAAUUUCUGCCAUGCUAACAAGCAGGAAACAAUUUCUUCCAGGGAUGCUCAAACGGUGAUCAAUCACAUGGUGGCGAGGCAAGAGCAAGAUUCAGAUUUUGUCUUCAGGUACUUGGUUGAUGAAGCUGGCCAUCUGAAGGGACUGUUCUGGUGUGAUAGUCAAUCCUGA